AGUACUGUGGCUUAAUCGGUCAAAGUGCCAGUCUAGUGAACAGGAGAUCCUUGGUUCGAAUCCCAGCAGUACCU